CGGUGAAAUGCGUAGAUAUUAGGAGGAACACCAGUGGCGAAGGCGACCUCCUGGGCUGCUCCUGACGCUGAAGGCGAAGGCUAGGGUAGCAAACGGGAUUAGAAACCCCGGUAGUCCUAGCAGUAAACGAUGGAUGCUGGGUGUGGGAGGUAUAGAUUCCUCCCGUGCCGAAGCUAACGCGUUAAGCAUCCUGCCUGAGGAUUACGGCCGCAAGGCUAAAACUCAAACGAAUUGACGGGGACCCGCACAAGCAGCGGAGCGUGUGGUUUAAUUCGAUGCUACACGAAGAACCUUACCUGGGUUUGACAUGCAAGUAGUAGUGAAGCGAAAGCUGAUCGACCCUUCGGGGAGCUUGCACAGGUGAUGCAUGGCUGUCGUCAGCUCGUCCCGUGAGGUGUCGGGUUAAGUCCAGUAACGAGCGCAACCCUUGUCCUUAGUUACAAGUGUCUAAGGAGACUGCCCGGGACAACUGGGAGGAAGUUGGGGAUGACGUCAAGUCAGCAUGGCCUUUAUGUCCAGGGCUACACACACGCUACAAUGGCCGGUACAAUGGCUCGCCA
rnacentral:rRNA from 1 species